UGGGGAAUCUUGGACAAUGGGGGCAACCCUGAUCCAGCGAUGCCGCGUGAGCGAAGAAGGCCUUAGGGUUGUAAAGCUCUUUCGCCCGCGACGAUGAUGACGGUAGCGGGAGAAGAAGCCCCGGCUAACUCCGUGCCAGCAGCCGCGGUAAUACGGAGGGGGCUAGCGUUGUCCGGAAUUACUGGGCGUAAAGCGCGCGUAGGCGGUCCACCAAGUCGGGGGUGAAAGCCCGGGGCUCAACCCCGGAAUGUCCUCCGAGACUGUUGGACUGGAGUUCGGGAGAGGAUAGCGGAAUUCCCAGUGUAGAGGUGAAAUUCGUAGAUAUUGGGAAGAACACCGGUAGCGAAGGCGGCUCUCUGGCCCGCAACUGACGCUGAGGCGCGAAAGCGUGGGGAGCAAACA
rnacentral:rRNA from 1 species